rnacentral:rRNA from 1 species
ACGGUGAGUAACGCGUGGGUAACCUGCCUCAUACAGGGGGAUAACAGUUGNAAACGGCUGCUAAUACCGCAUAAGCACACAGUGCCGCAUGGUACGGUGUGAAAAACUCCGGUGGUAUGAGAUGGACCCGCGUCUGAUUAGGUAGUUGGUGAGGUAACGGCCCACCAAGCCGACGAUCAGUAGCCGACCUGAGAGGGUGACCGGCCACAUUGGGACUGAGACACGGCCCAAACUCCUACGGGAGGCAGCAGUGGGGAAUAUUGGACAAUGGGGGAAACCCUGAUCCAGCGACGCCGCGUGAGUGAAGAAGUAUUUCGGUAUGUAAAGCUCUAUCAGCAGGGAAGAAAAUGACGGUACCUGACUAAGAAGCCCCGGCUAACUACUGU